rnacentral:lncRNA from 1 species
CUCAAACUUAACUCAUUAGCUUGUAAUACAUGUUUUCUGAAACACAUGAAAUUAAUAAUACCAUGUGUAAAAGUAAGAGGAAACUAACAACGAAGCACAUAACUAAGUUAUAUAAACUAUGCAAGCAAAAUGUGUGUAAUACUAAAGCAUAUAAUACUACGUGUAUCAAUAACUUAAAAAUUAAACAUGACAAGUUGAGAUAUAUCAUCACAAUAGCUGAACUAGCAAUACAAAUUAUGAUGUCAAUAUUAUUCCAAAAAAAUAAAAACUUAAUAUCAAUAAGCAAAAUAACACAUUAUGCUAGUAAGAUCAUCAAUCUUAAAAAAUAUCUAUGACUUCCCUUAAGUUAAAAAAGGGUACAAGUGUCAGAAACAUUAUAAUUCCUUCGCUUACUCGUUGUAACUGUAUCUUGAUCAUGGAUUUUCAAAUUUCCAGUAGAUAGUCCAAAAAAUUAUGCAUCCUAAAAAGAGAAUAGGCAAAGGUAAUUUGAGAGCUUCGUUGAUGUAUUGUCCCUGACCUGCGCUUUCCUAAUUUCUGUUGCUCUCUUCCAACCUACCUUCUUCCCUCUUUCACUCUUGUGUUUGGGGUUCAUUCCUUGAUGACAUGGCUAGCCUCCUAUUGGGCAACUGCAACUGUUGAUGCCGAUGCUCUUUGAGCUUUUUCAAUGAAACUUUCACAAUCAUUAAGUCCCAUCAAGUACUUAGUGAUCUUUAUGGCCUUUUCCCCACGUUAAAAGGUUUUUCAUCAAAUGUUCUUCAAGUUGUACUUGAUGCUCGAACAAACUUUUUCCAUCCGCGCUUUUUAGGAGGUUUCAUAAAAGAAGACCCAACCUAACGUUUGGCUUCGAAGGAACUACCUAUGCCAGAGGCAUGGGCCCCCUAAUGCUGGGUUCUGCCCAGGGUUGUUGGUUGUAUAAUCAUCAAUCAUAAAAAAUAUCUACAACUCCCACUAAGACAAAUAUAAAAAAAUAAUCAUCAAUCAUAAAAAAUAUCCAUGACUCUCCUUAAGUCAAAUAUUAAAAGCAAGCUCAACAAUGUAUCGACUUCUCCUCCUAACUCAUAUAUUACUCAACUCCCCCGAAAUAAAUACUUCCCUCCUCAUUUUUAUCACGAAUUAUAAAGAAAAAUUAAGCAAUAUAAUUGUGAAUAAUGCAAAGAGGAACGAGUGAAAAAAUAUACACAUGGACAAACUAUGCAAAAUUAUGCAAACCAUGUGUUGGGAAAAUUUUUAUUUUUUAUUAAGAUAACUCUUUUUCAUGGAUUUUUAAAUAUAACAUCAAGUAAAGCUCAAAUCACAUCAACAGAUAUUUGCUUACUUAUACAAGCAUAAUAGAAAAACUAUGAACUUUUCCCUCAUAGCUCAAUUUUAAUCUAUAAUCUAUAUAGAGUAAAUUAUAUAAACAACCCGUGUGCGGAAAGUGCCACUAAUCUCCUGUAAGCAAGUCUCAAAAUCUUACAUAAGUAAGAGAGGACAUGCAAAUCAAUCACAGGUGAAUAAAUAUAUUCCUUAAAUUAUUAAAGUCUAACCCAAUGCUACUAGGACAUUUAAAAUAAAAAGUUCAAUAUCGUAAUUUUCUUUUAUAUAAUCCUGUAGGCAUGACGUUAGACAACAUAAACAUGUAGAAAGAUGUAGUUUGCAGUAUUCGGUUAAGAAUGCAAGGCAAGUUAGAUAUUUAAAGAAUGAAGGAACAAGAGUAAGAGUAAGAGUCAUAUGUCAAGAGAAUUGUCCAUAAAAGUUGUAUGCUUACUAGCAACCAGACAAAAAUUUCAGGAUUAACACAUUUAGAGUUGAACAUACAUGCACAAUGGUUUGAAAAAAUAGAAGAGUGCAUAUUGGUUACUUGGCAAACAAGUAUAUAAGGAAGUCAAAUCAAAUCCAAAAAUGUCUAUGAAUAGUUUUAUAGAAAAAAUGAAUGAGGAGUGCAUAUAUGAGAUCUCUAAGCAUCAAUUUUAUAGAAUAAGAGUUAAAUGUGCAGACGUUGUUAAUGAAAAUGUAGCUAAAUAGUACAAGAUUCUAUGGGACUAUGGUAAGAAGUUGAAAAGAACUAAUCCUGAUAGUACAAUGGGCAGGGUCAUACAUUCAAAAGACUAUACAUAUGUUUAGGGGCUUGCAAAGAAGUUCUUAGAGUUGGGUGUAGGAAUGCAAUUGGUUUGGAUGGAUAUUUCCUAAAGAGUGCACAAUGUGGGUAGUUGUUGGCUGCAAUUGGCAUUGAUGUAGAUAACUACAUGUUUCCUAUAGCUGGGGAUGUGGUAGAUGUGGAGAACAAAAGAAAUUGGGAAUGGUUAUUAGAACUUUUGACAGCUGAUAUUGGGAUGUAUAAUGCUAGGACUUGGACCUUAUUUCUGAUAAACUGAAGGGCUUGAUGGACUCCAUAGAUUUGUUAUGUAAGGGUGCUGAGUAUAGGUAUUGUGCAAGAUAUUUAUCCAGCAAUUUCACCUUAGUGCAUAAGGGACUGACUCUAAAGAGCAUAUUUUUGGGCUGCAACAAGGGUAAACUAGUGCUAGAGUGGAGAAGUGCAAUGAAUGAGAUAAAAGAUAUGAACGAAACAGCGUUUAAGUGGUUCACUGAGAAACCAGCAUCACCGUAGAGUAGAUCACAUUUCCAAGAUUAUUUAAAGUGCGACAUCCUACUUAAUAACUUGUGUGAGACAUUCAACUCUUUCAUAUUAAUUGCAAGAGAAAAGUCUAUUAUCUCAAUGCUUAAGAAGCUAAGACGUCAACAAAUGGAAAGGAUGAAUGCUAAAACGGAAGCUACAUGAAGAUGUAAUCAUGCUUUAGGUCCUGAAGUUAUGAGAGUUAUAGAGAAAACAAAGGUAGAUGCAAGGUUUUUGAAGGCUAACUAUGCUGGAAGUGAAAUUUUGAUGUGAGAAAUACGGAUGGAAAAGAGAUGGAGUUUGGACUUGAUGAAGCGUAAAUGUGCAUGUAGAAAAUAGCAACUUACUGGAAUACCUUGUGUGCAUGUAUUGUCUGGUAUGCCAUUGAGACAUAUCAGUAUAUAUGAGUAUGUAGAUGAAUGCUACAUCAAAGAAGCUUACUUGAGGUCCUAUAGCCCAAUCAUCCAACCAAUGUCAGGUCCUUGAGUUGUGAUUAGAGCUGGGAAAACAUUCUUUGAAUCCACCUAUGAAGAAGAAACAAGUAGGGAGACCAAAGAAGUUGAGAAAAAAUCGCUAGUACAGCCACCUACAGGCACCAAAAUGACAAGGACUAGAAUGAUGAUGACAUGUAAAACACGUGGUGGGACAUGCCAUAACAAGAUAACAUGUUCUAAAGCAGAUACACAAUAGGAUACACAACCAACUCAAUCACAGGGCAAGGGAAAAAGUGGCCUUUGUACAAAUUGAGACAUAAGCUUCAACUCCUUAAAAGGUCUAAAAUCUACUCUGCAACUCAUUUAAAAGGUUUGGGACUUUUCAUGCAUUCAAAUACAAAUAUUUGGAACCUACGUUGCGACAUAGUAAAAGGUUUGUGUACGACUAAUUGAAAAUGUUUGAGACCUACAAUGCACUAUCUAUGAUUGGUUUUCAAACAUAUUUUUCCCUUCCUUUUGAAGCAUUUGCUCACAGGGAGAGGGGGAAACUGUGAGAAAUGAUAAUUAGGGCAACACUGUUGAAUGAUGACAUAUCUUAAUAUCUUAUUUAAUGGAAAAUAAGUUACAAAACCAUAGACAACACUCGAUUUCGAACUCAUAAACCUACAUUUCAAAACGCAAACACAACAUAUGAGCUGAAACCUAACACAGAUCUAAGCACAGACACAUUUCACAAAAACUCCACAUGUAAAUCCUAAUAUCCAAGUCUUCCAUAAACUACGGGUCCUUGUAUGUAAGGUGUUUAGUUCAACUUUCAUCUCUUCUGACACAUAGAAAUCUAGAGAUUAUCUUCCUCGAUCUAUCACACAUUGGAGGGUCGUGCUAGUCUAAAAAGUUACAUCCAUCGACAUCCUGACGUCGUGGACAAGUGAGAAAUCUUCUUCCUAGAAUUAAGUUCGUCCAUGAUGUCUUCAUCUGCAUAGGGUCACCGCAUCUACAGACAUUACUCCCCGUAUUCAUGCUAAAAAUAAUCUAAGAUAUAUGGAAGAGAGAGAAGAAUAUAUAAGACCUGGAAAAUAAGGGAAAUGAACAGUGAUUUGUACAGUGAAUAAGGGGAAAAGAGAAUUGGAAUUGGUCAAAAUUUGCCCUUUUUUCCAUUUUC